rnacentral:lncRNA from 1 species
GGAAAAUAUAUGCAACCCACGAAGUGUAGGCACCAGGCAUAUGGUGAUUGCUUAGCCUCUGACAACCAGCAGUCCAAGGUCGCUCAUUCAUUCCAUUCACUCCAGUGUCUAUGAAAACACUGGCAAACAGACUGCCUGAGAAGGACCCAUGGACAAGGGACAGCAAAGUCACCUCAAUAACCAGGAGAAAGAGGCCAACGCAUAAACAAGCAGCAGGUGACUGAACAUCGUGUGCUUGGUGCUGGGCAGAUAGCCAUCUCGAUGCGUGGGAGUCUGAAUACAGCACCAGGCUCUGCUGAGGGACACGCCCCUGUUCCCUUGCUGUUCCUAGCUGAUAAGAGCACAGCUUAAUUCCUGAUAUCUCCCCUAUCUCCCGAAUGUUCUCUCCACCCACGGAGCAGAUUCUCCACAGCUUCUACCUCCUGCACCCACCUGCAGUCCCAGAGGAGAGAGAUGAGCUCCAACACUCCCACCCAGAACUUCCGGCUCGCCUGCAGGCUGUGUUCAACAAGGCUUGGCUGCUCUGUCUGCCCUUGAGAUCCACAGCUCGCUCUCUCUCUCUCUCUCUCUCUCUCUCUCUCUCUCUCGUUUUUUUUAGCAGUCAGAGCUAGCCCAGGACUCAUCUUGCAGCCCAGGCUUGAACCUACAGCAAUACUUUUGCCUCAGCCUCCCCAUACUAGGAAGACAAGCUCAGGUCACCCUAAACUAUAGUAAAAGAGGCAUAAGAAUUAGCGUCUCUGCCACCACACAUGCUCAGUUCAGUGAUGUCAGACACACACAAACCAUGCGAGCAAUCUCGCCAUCCAACCACAAGACUCUAUCCCCAUUAAACACUAAUUCUCCGUCCCCUGCCACCCGAUCCUCACCCCCAUUCCUUACCCCACCCACUCCCCACCGCACCCCAAUCUCCUUUCCUACUCUGGGAAUCUAAGUAGAAUAUUACAGUAUCUCUCUUCCAUGACUGUCUCAUGCAGCAAACACAAUGCCCUCCACAUUCACCCACACUGUGCCCGGUAGUACAGUGCCUUUUGUAAGCCUAGUCACAGACCACAAAGUGCAUCCACAACACACUUUGCUUGUCUAUCCAGCCAUGGCCUCUUGGGCUGUCAUCAGUUAUAGUGACUAGAUGUCUUGUCUAGACAGCACUUUCUUUUCAGGUGUGUAUCAACGAUGAGCGGGACUGGGUGCUGGGUAUGAAGAACUCCAUUUUCAAAUGUUUGAGG